UAAACCACGGACCUCACUACGCUAUCCCACAAUGCAACCGGAGUCUGGUAACAAACGAAGAAGAGAUGGCUGACCCGACACCACCAACAGCGGCUCCCGCAAAUUUCGAAACAUUGAAAUGGACUGACGAGGACACCCGCCAGUUUAUAGCCUGGCGGGCAGCUAAUACAAUGCUAUUCACAGGCGUGAAGAAAUCGGCGAAGGAUGGCUUUGAACAAUUUAUUAAAGACAAGGGGCUGGGGGGGAAGAUAUCCACCCAGCAGAGGAAGUGG